UAGGAACAUUAUUAAAUAUAUAAAAUACAAUUUAGACACUAAAAACAUAUUUAACCCUAUUAAUAAUAACUAUUACAAACCAGAGGUGACAUAAACAAAAACUCGAUGACAAAACUAAUAGUACCUAAAAUUUGGCAAUGAAAACUGUUAGAGCAAUAUCGUGACAAUAUUGCUCCAUCCAUUCAUACUCGUGAGCGACCCUUCUCCUUUGAAGAACUUCGUAGCCACUUGCUUGCUCAUGAUGAAUAUAUUCAUCGUGAAUCUCAAGUUGAAAAUCAAGUUCCAACUGCAAACCUAGCCCAUAAAAACUUCAAACAUGAUGAUCUCCCACGAACACCAUCAUCUGGUCGUGGUCACUCAUCUUUCACUCCACGUGGCUCACACUCUGCUCGAGUUUACGGUCGAGGCAAAUCCAAAGGCUCUAACUUUCGUGGCAAUAAACCCCUUCAACGUUGCCAAUUUUGCUCAACUAUUGGGCAUAUUGCUCUCUGUUGUCCAUAGAUUCCCCAACCAAGCAACCCCCCAAUGGCUCACUAUGCUUAUGCUAACCCACCAACUCCAAUAGGGUACUAGAUACUGGAGCCAUUCACCAUGUUGCAAACAAUCUCAACAACAUGCAUAUUUACUCUGAAUAUGAUGGCUCUCAAGAAGUUCAGAUCGGUGAUGGUACAGGAUCAGGUGAUGGGUGCGGUUUUGAUGCACAUUCUAAGUAACAGUGAUCUAUAUACCUAUAGCCCAACCUUCAACUCUCCCAUGGCACUAUCCACAACUAUGUCCACCAUAGAUCUUUGGCAUGCAAGAUUUGGUCAUCCAUCUCCAAAAAUUCUUACACAAAUGAUGUCUAUGUGUGGUCUAUCUAGGAAUUUUAAUAAUAAAACCAUGCAUUGUAAUUCUUGUUCUAUCAAUAAAGGUCACAAACUUCCAUUUUCUA